UGUUGCUCCGUCGCAACAUCCCCAAUCCGAAUUUUGACAUCUAGACAAGCUCCAUAUAAUUCGCCCCGUGUGUUAUUAGCUGCUCGUAUUGCCCAUCCAUGUUCCAUGUCAAUUGGCCAUUUUUGCUUCUUAUAAAGAUCUUUAGACAUGAGAUUUAUUUCAGAACCAUGGUCGACUAAAGCAACAACUAGUUCUUCUAUAU
rnacentral:lncRNA from 1 species